AUGUGUGUCCGAAAAGAACAAGGACGAAUGGGAUUCCGAGAUAUACAUUGUUUCAAUUUGGCUUUGCUAGCCAAGCAAGUGUGGCAUUUACUUGAUAACCCGGAAUCGUUAUGUGCCACAAUCUUGAGAGUUAAAUAUUUCUCGGAUGACGAUUUAAUGAAUGCAAAUCUAAAGAAGGGUUCCUCUUUUACCUGGCAAAGCGUUAUGGCGGGGGUUAAUUAUCUAAGGAAUGGCUAUAUCUUGCGAGUUGGAAACAGACAAAAAAUUGAUAUUUGGGAAGAUGCAUGGAACCUGAAUUGUGUAAAUAGGAAAACAAUUAUGUCGGUGUACUGGAGUAGGGGUACCCUAGUAUCCCGAUUUAUUGAUCCAAUCAUGAGUUAUUGGGAUGAAGACUUAGUGAGACAAAUGUUGUGGCCAAUUGAUGCUCAAAGGGUGCUUGCGAUUCCCCUUCCGAUGCAUGAAAUGUUGAAUUUCAUCGCUUGGAGUUUCACAACAAAUGGGUUGUUCACUGUUCGAUCAGCUUAUUGGGAGGAAUGGAACAAACAAUAUGGAAGAAAAUUGCAACAUACAGAUGGUAUGGGUAGAUCCAAUGCUAAUCCUGUUUGGAGCAAGAUCUGGAAGCUAUCUUGUCCGGCAAAGGUAAAAAUCUUCAUGUGGCGUACAUUGCAUGGAACACUUCCAUGUCGUGUUACACUCGCUAAUAGACAUAUGAAGAUCUCUCCCAUCUGCCCAACAUGUUCAAACGGGUUAGGAGACACAAAACACAUCUUGUUUCUAUGUCAAAAGGCGAAAGAGGUCUGGGAUAAGUUAGGAUUGUAUGAGGUGAUCAAUAGAGCUUGUGUUGUUGAUCGGGUGGGAGAGGCAGUUAUUGAAUUUUUAAUAGGGCCAUUUGCAUUUAUGUCCCUAACUCGAACCACCUAG
rnacentral:rRNA from 1 species